rnacentral:lncRNA from 1 species
UUUAUAUGGAUUUCUAUUAUAGAUAUCUAUGAAUUUGUAUAGACUUCUUUCAUGGAUUUCUUAGGAUUUAGUUGACUCUUGCAACAUAAAUGAAUUUCUUCCCCCAUUCUCAUUUGAAUUGUGAUUUAAAGAAAAAUAUCAAAUAUCCUCGACUACAUUUCUUAAGGAAGCAUGACAUUUCUUAUUCAAUUUGUUCUUCUUCCAUUUGUUCCACUUCCAUUUCUUCCUCCUCUUCGUCCACUUCCCCUUCCAUGCUUGAUUGAGGCAUUUUAUAAACUACCCAACCAAAUAGAUAAAAUCAUAAGCAAAUUAACGAAAAAAAAAAGAAUCGUGUAUAUAUAUAUAUACACACACACACAUAUAUACAUAUAUACCCAAUCAUAAGCAAGUUAAUAAACAUUUAUUGACGACAUGUUAUGAACUACAUAUAAUCGCAAAACGCGUAAACAUAAUGGUUCAUGAGAACAUUGAUCGAAGAGCUUGAAUAAGUUAUAAAGGAUAGCUUUAGCGAACAGCAUAUCCAUUCAAGAAUGAUGAGUUCAACAACAACAUAUUCAAUCAUGAGUACUAAUAUAUGUGAAAAUUUACCAAAUGGCAGACGAAAUUGAGUAGGAGAGAAAUUAGGAUUUAAAAAUUGGGGUGGAUUGCAAUCUGCAAAGCUGCUCAGCUCACUCACAAACUCGUGAAAAAUAGACAUUUAUGUGAAAUCAUCCUAAGCUCCCAUCUUUUCUAUUAAUUGAAGUGAACGUUUGAAUAAUAAAAAGUAGAAAUUAUGUGAAAUAAGAAAUUGGGCAUUAAUUGAAAUCCUAAAAUUCCUAAAAACAUAUAUCAAAUAAAAACCCAUCAACAUUGAUUGAUUCCUGUGUCAGAAAUUUGAAAUUAGAGACCACGCAUCAGAAUCAUGGUAGGCCAAAGAUCUGCUGUCGCUUUUUUAGCGUCUCUUAUUGUGUCUCAUUACCAAUAUAUAGACACGUGUUCUGAACUUAAUUAAGAAAUAACUCUGUUAACUUUUUAUCUAUUUAAAUAUUUAAAAAAAUCUAAAUAUAAUGAAAUACGCGUACGUAAGCGUAUUUGUUGAUCCGGCGUUUCUUCUUCUCGUCUAUCAUGUCUCAAACACCUGUAAAAUCCAACCAUCUGAAUCUCUACCCUCAUAAUCUGCAAUAAGAACACCAUUGUCCCUCCACUUAACUCUUAAUUAAUACUGUUAACCAUUAUAUAUCACUAGUGAAAAAAACUACAUAAUAAAGAAAAAUAAAAACAAACAUCAUGCUUGGAUCACACCCAUUAAUUGAUUGAUCUCAGUUUACGAAAAUAGGAGAUAUAAUCGAUUGAAGAGCCUCAAUAGAACACACACAAUUGCUUGGAUCAAACCUAUUAACCAAAAAAUUAUCCAGAAUAAAAAAUGAAAAAAAAGGGAGAUUCUUGCCAGGAUUAGAAACAAACGGAAGCAGUAAAUAAGCAACAGCAACCGACCCAACAGCGAACCGAGCCCCGCAGCACCGAAAUGGAUAAAAAAACAAACUGAAUUGCAGCCAUAAAAAACUGUCGAGAAGAGACAACCUUUCUCUCGUAGGCGAAGCCGUGUUUGCGUUCUUCGUUGUCACUUAGGAUCGAUUCGAAUUUGGGCGUUCAUCUUCGUAGUCGCAUCGUUUAUGAUUUUUCCUCUAUCGACCAAUUAUAUCUUCCAUUGAAUUUCUGUUGCAUCUGUGUUCUAUUGUCCGUGUUCAAUCGAUUAUAUCUCCUUUUUGGGUAAACUGGGAAGAUAUAACCGUUUCAGAUUUGCCUGUAUCUUUAUGGAAAGUUAACUGGAUGUUUGUUUUUAUUUUUCUUUAUUUUGUAGUUUUUUUCACUAGUGAUAUAUGAUUAGACCUGGCAUUCGUGUCGUGUUUUUUGUGUUCGUGUCGUUUUCGUGUCAUACCCGAUAUCUUAACGGGUCGUGUCGUGUAAUACCCGUUAAAAUAAACGGGUAAAAUGACCCGACCUGAAAUCGACCCGAUAAUAUUAACAAGUAAUAUGACCCGACUCAUUACCUGAUAAGGAAAAUAUAUUUUAAACCAAUAAAUAAUCAAAUGAAAAACAUAAUACUAAAUAAGUAUAUACAUACCAUAUUGUCACAAACAAAACGUAUUUUUCUUUUAAUUAUAUUUUCACUCACCUAAAGUAUUUAAUAAUUUUUUAAUUAAUGUAGAAGUGUAAAAAAAUAUAGAAAAAAUAUAUAAACACUCGUAAGACAAGCUUUACAACUUUUAUGAAGAGCUUAAUUUUGAAAUUCGCCACUAUAAUCAUAUAAAUCAUAGAUCAAAAUUUAACCGUUAAUUGUUGUUUAUAUUUACGCUUUAUUGUUCUCAUCAAAUUUUGUUUUUUCAGAUUUUCUUUUUUGAAAACUUGAUCUAUUAGAGGAUGCAGGAAGAUAAACGGUUUGGAUCGUUGAUAUUAUAUUCAGAGUUUUACGGUUAGUGAAAAUAUUGCUUGAUGUUUAUAAAGUUUCUACAAACUAUAUAACAUAGACUCAUAUUUCAGUUAACCGUAAAUAUCGAAACGUGAUAUCAAAGAUCUGAACUGUUCAUCUUCUUACAUCUGCCAGAUGAUCAUCUUUUUAAAAAAGAAAAUUUUAAAAAUUAAAUUCAGUAAGAAGAAUAAAACGUAAAUGUCAAUCGACAGUUAAAUAUAAAUUUAAGGUUUAUGAAUUACAGUGUUGGAUUUUGAAGCUGACCCCUUCAUGAAAAUUGUAAAGUUUGUCACAAUGAGUGAUUGUAUAUUUUUUUUACAUUUUUUUUACACUUUUACAAUAAUUAUUAUUAAUUUUAUUAAUUUUUCCCUCAAAUAAAAAACAUUAUUCAUGAAGGUUUGGAGGAUUUUAAAAAUCUAAACGAUAAUGUAAGUGUAACCAUUAUCUACUCGUGGAGGAAUAAUGAUGAAUCACGAGUGUUUAUAUAUUUUUUCACUUUUUUCAUACUUGUAUGUAUGUCUUCUUAGCUCUUGCCUAUACAAAUACUAUAUUAGUUUAUUUUAAUUUUGGACAACAACAUGUUAAGUAAAAUUUAUCCUAAUAAUGAUAAUGAGGAACUCUCAUAAUAAAAAUAAAUAAAGACUAAAACUUUUUUUUU